CGCCACCCCCUCACCCCGCCUCAGCCCGGCCCGCCCGAGGCCCCGCACUGCGCAGCGUCACUUACCCCCCGGCCGCGGCGGACGGCGCCGGUUGUGGCGGUUAGGGCCGCGCUCUCGAAGAAUCUCAGCUGCCUCAGUGUUUUAAAUGGAAAAGUCUCACGAGCAAGACUGUCCCAAACCUUUUACAUAAAACGGGAUACAACAGAUGUCUGUGACAUUUGAAGAAGUGCUUCCUGGCAUGUCAGGAUGAACAAAGAAGAUUCUCUAAGUCUGUCCUCAUCCUGGUGGCCCUCCACUGCACUUUCUUCACUACACUGAAGAAUUUGCUGACCCAGGAAAGUGUCAACAUGGGAAACCUCAGCAAGGUUCACAAGAGGGUGUUGAACAAGACUGUGACCUGCUUCUUUGGUAACUGUUUCUCAUGUUGUUUUCAGGGCCUUGUACUUCAGCUUUACACUGGUUCUUACACUUCAGUCGCAGUCAAGUCCUUUUGUAUAGAUACCAGAGUUUAAUAAACUCCCAAAGUGCUGGAAGCAUCG